AUGCUCAUUUUGGCAGCACAUAUACUAAAACUGGAACAAUACAGAGAAGAUUAACAUGGCCCCUGCGCAAGGAUGACAUGCAAAUUCGUGAAGUGUUCCAUAUUUUU
rnacentral:snRNA from 1 species